CGGUCGAGCUAGAGGAUGGGAGUGUUGCUCCCUGAUGUUAGCGGCGGACGGGUGAGUAACACGUGGGUAACCUGCCUGUAAGACUGGGAUAACUCCGGGAAACCGGGGCUAAUACCGGAUGGUUGUUUGAACCGCAUGGUUCAAACAUAAAAGGUGGCUUCGGCUACCACUUACAGAUGGACCCGCGGCGCAUUAGCUAGUUGGUGAGGUAAUGGCUCACCAAGGCAACGAUGCGUAGCCGACCUGAGAGGGUGAUCGGCCACACUGGGACUGAGACACGGCCCAGACUCCUACGGGAGGCAGCAGUAGGGAAUCUUCCGCAAUGGACGAAAGUCUGACGGAGCAACGCCGCGUGAGUGAUGAAGGUUUUCGGAUCGUAAAGCUCUGUUGUUAGGGAAGAACAAGUACCGUUCGAAUAGGGCGGUACCUUGACGGUACCUAACCAGAAAGCCACGGCUAACUACGUGCCAGCAGCCGCGGUAAUACGUAGGUGGCAAGCGUUGUCCGGAAUUAUUGGGCGUAAAGGGCUCGCAGGCGGUUUCUUAAGUCUGAUGUGAAAGCCCCCGGCUCAACCGGGGAGGGUCAUUGGAAACUGGGAAACUUGAGUGCAGAAGAGGAGAGUGGAAUUCCACGUGUAGCGGUGAAAUGCGUAGAGAUGUGGAGGAACACCAGUGGCGAAGGCGACUCUCUGGUCUGUAACUGACGCUGAGGAGCGAAAGCGUGGGGAGCGAACAGGAUUAGA
rnacentral:rRNA from 2 species